AAGUCGAGCGAGUCUGCCUUGAAGAUCGGAGUGCUUGCACUCUGUAGAAACAAGAUACAGGCUAGCGGCGGACGGGUGAGUAACACGUGGGUAACCUGCCCAAGAGAUCGGGGGAUAACACCUGGAAACAGAUGCUAAUACCGGAUAACAACAGAUGAUGCCUAUCAACUGUUUAAAAAGAUGGUUCUGCUAUCACUCUUGGGAUGGACCUGCGGGUGCAUUAGCUAGUUGGGUAGGGGUAACGGCCUACCAAGGCGAUGAUGCAUAGCCGAGUUUGAGAGACUGAUCGGCCACAUUGGGACUGAGACACGGCCCAAACUCCUACGGGAGGCAGCAGUAGGGGAAUCUUCCACAAUGGACGCAAGUCUAAUGGAGCAAACGCCGCGUGAGUGAAGAAGGGUUUCGGCUCGUAAAGCUCUGUUGUUGGUGAAGAAGGACAGGGGGGUAGUAACUGACCUUUGUUUGACGGUAAUCAAUUAGAAAAGUCACGGGCUAACUACGUGCCAGCAGCCGCGGGUAAA
rnacentral:rRNA from 1 species